rnacentral:tRNA from 1 species
GGGGAUUUAGCUCAGCGGCAUAAGCGCCUGCCUUGCAAGUAUGUGGUUGUGAGUUCAAUCCCCA